UCGUCAGGAUAAUCCUUACCUGUUCUUUCUUCGGAAGGGCAGAUAGAACAUGAUGAUUGGAGAUCUCAUGACUUGUGAUUAAGGUCUCCACGUGGCCUGGGACUUUGAACACCCUGUUGCUCCUAUCUGAU